UGAUUAUCCUCUCUCUGACUGCAAACGCUCUGUGAAUGGGAUGCUGGUUUCACCCUGUAAACUCAUUAGGUCUUGCGUACAGUGUUUGUGUGUUCUAAGUGGUGAAGACAUUUCAGCCCCAGAGACUGAACUGUAGAAGCUGCCAGUAUCUGCCGAGCACAUGUAGAAACCUACUGUGCCUUACAUCUCUUAUACCACCCAUCUUUAAGGUAGAGAACCUAGUCCCACAUUCAGCUGCUUUGUGACUUUGGAACUUGCUCAGCCCGCUGGAAGAGGAGCCUCGAAAUUCUGUCAUCCCGGAAGCCAAUUGCUCUAGUGUGGAUAAGGAGUGUUUCUUCCCACCACCACAGCUCUUGCUAUGAAGCCAAGGAGUGGCGACCUCUUGUCACUGGGCAUGGUUCCCCCAUGCCCAGGAGCUUGGAGCAUGGUGAGAAGUUCUGAGAAAGCCAGGAGCCCACAGCCCAAGUCAAUCAGAGUACUAUGGUAAGAGACACCACUUGGAAACUGGUCCAUUGAUUUAUAGAUAAUGCUUGACUUGAAUCUGCAGAGAAACUCACCACGGAUUCUGCAGAGUUAACAGAUCCAGGAGUCCCCUGCGCAUUGUGUGAAAACACAGACUAUGACUCUACUGGCUAUGCUGCUGAGAUGCUUACAGAGCUUGCUUGUCCCCAGGCUGUGCUGAGGGGCUGAGGGAGCACCCUUUGUUAUUGCUCCAGUCAUUGCUCACUCUUCCAUAUGGAGGCUCUGUAUGUCACCUCUCCGCCUUUUGCUUUUGUCUUUUCCUAUUCCUCCUUCAUCCCUCCUUCUUCCCAUCUCCCUCAUUGCCCCAACACACAGCCCUACUCGCUCCUGGUUCAGCUUCAUUACCCACUGUGCUUUCCUACCCUUGAGCUGCCUGUUAGAGGCGUGUUUGCAAGAAAGAAUAAAAUGCAGGGCACAGACAAGAGGCAUGGUAAUCACUGCCCCCUUACUUGGGCUGAACUAAGUGGGGAGAAAAGCUUGGCACCCAGCCUGCAUUUUGUAUCUGACUCCUAUGUGUGUAACCACAUUCACGGUGACGAUUACACCACCCCUAAACAGAAGCUGUCAUCUCAUAGAGACCAAAUGUCCCAAGCAGUAAGGAUCUCUUUGUAUCACCAUGCAAACCCAGAUUGUGAUGGACUGGACUUGACUGACCUCUUGCUUCUUGCCCCAGCUCUUCCUCUGUUCAAACCCAAACCUCAGACUUCCUCUCCCCAGGUGUCUGGUCUGUCAACUCUCCUUUUUCUGCCCUUUGACGCUACUCAUUUCUGU